AACGAACGCUGGCGGCAGGCUUAACACAUGCAAGUCGAACGGUUGUAGCAAUACAGCAGUGGCAGACGGGUGAGUAACACGUGGGAACCUUCCUAGGGGUACGGAACAACUCAGGGAAACUUGAGCUAAUACCGUAUACGUCCGUGAGGAGAAAGAUUUAUCGCCCUUAGACGGGCCCGCGUAGGAUUAGGUAGUUGGUGAGGUAACGGCUCACCAAGCCUACGAUCCUUAGCUGAUCUGAGAGGAUGAUCAGCCACACUGGGACUGAGACACGGCCCAGACUCCUACGGGAGGCAGCAGUGGGGAAUCUUGGACAAUGGGCGCAAGCCUGACCCAGCCAUGCCGCGUGAGUGAAGAAGGCCUUCGGGUUGUAAAGCUCUUUUACCAGGGACGAUAAUGACGGUAC
rnacentral:rRNA from 2 species